rnacentral:rRNA from 1 species
GUACGCUAUUCAGAGUUUGAUCCUGGCUCAGGAUGAACGCUGGCGGCGUGCUUAACACAUGCAAGUCGAACGGACUUUAGAUGAAGCCUGGCGAUUCUAAAGUUAGUGGCGGACGGGUGAGUUAACGCGUGGGUAACCUGCCAUAUGCUGGGGGACAACAGUUAGAAAUGACUGGCUAAUACCGCAUAAGCGCACAGUAUCGCAUGAUACAGUGUGAAAAACUCCGGUGGCAUAUGAUGGACCCGCGUCUGAUUAGCUAGUUGGUGAGGUAACGGCUCACCAAGGCGACGAUCAGUAGCCGGCCGUGAGAGGGUGAACCGGCCACAUUGGGACUGAGACACGGCCCAA